rnacentral:rRNA from 1 species
GACGAACGCUGGCGGCGUGCUUAACACAUGCAAGUCGAACGGAAAGGCCUGCUUUCCCUUGUGGAUUGCGGGUACUCGAGUGGCGAACGGGUGAGUAACACGUGAGUGAUCUGCCCCCAACUUGGGUAUAAGCCUGGGAAACUGGGUCUAAUUCCCGAUAGGACUGCAGGGUGGUGCCUGUGGUGGAAAACGAUUUUCUAGUGGUUGGGGAUGAGCUCGCGGCCUAUCAGCUUGUUGGUGGGGUAAUGGCCUACCAAGGCGGCGACGGGUAGCCGGCCUGAGAGAGUGGACGGCCAGAUUGGGACUGAGAUACGGCCCAGACUCCUACGGGAGGCAGCAGUGGGGAAUAUUGCACAAUGGGCGGAAGCCUGAUGCAGCGACGCCGCGUGGGGGAUGACGGCCUUCGGGUUGUAAACUCCUUUCGACCGCGAGGAAGCCACCUGGUUGGAAGGGUGGUGACGGUAGUGGUAGAAGAAGCACCGGCUAACUACGUG